rnacentral:rRNA from 1 species
AGCCUGAACGCUGGCGGCGUGGCUAAGACAUGCAAGUCGUACGGAUGUAGCAAUACAUCAGUGGCGAACGGGUGAGUAAUGUAUCGCUAAUGUGCCCCGGAUUCUGGGAUAGCUAUCCGAAAGGGUAGGUAAUACCAGAUGAUAUAACUUUGUCGCAUGGCAAGGUUCUCAAAGGAGUAAAUCCGCUUCUGGGAGCAGGCGAUAUCGUAUCAGCUAGUUGGUGAGGUAACGGCUCACCAAGGCGACGACGCGUAGCCGGACUGAGAGGUUGGCCGGCCACAUUGGGACUGAGACACUGCCCAGACUCCUACGGGGGGCUGCAGUAACGAAUCUUCCGCAAUGCACGAAAGUGUGACGGAGCGACGCCGCGUGUGGGACGAAGCCCUUCGGGGUGUAAACCACUGUCAGGGGUUUAGAAAGUUUCUAGAUCAACCCCAGAGGAAGGCACGGCUAACUCUGUGCCAGCAGCCGC